AGAACGAACGCUGGCGGCAUGCCUAACACAUGCAAGUCGAACGAGACCUUCGGGUCUAGUGGCGCACGGGUGCGUAACGCGUGGGAAUCUGCCCUUCGGUUCGGAAUAACAGUUAGAAAUGACUGCUAAUACCGGAUAAUGACGUAAGUCCAAAGAUUUAUCGCCGAAGGAUGAGCCCGCGUAAGAUUAGCUUGUUGGUGAGGUAAAGGCUCACCAAGGCUACGAUCUUUAGCUGGUCUGAGAGGACGACCAGCCACACUGGAACUGAGACACGGUCCAGACUCCUACGGGAGGCAGCAGUGGGGAAUUUUGGACAAUGGGCGCAAGCCUGAUCCAGCCAUGCCGCGUGAGUGAAGAAGGCCUUCGGGUUGUAAGCUCUUUCGCUGGGACGAAAGGUCCGU
rnacentral:rRNA from 1 species